rnacentral:rRNA from 1 species
UGAGUAGCAAUACGAAUUAAGUUUAGUGGCGGACGGGUGAGUAACGCGUGAGCAACCUGCCUUUCAAAGCGGGAUAACGACUGGAAACGGUCGCUAAUACCGCAUGACGUAUACGAGUCGCAUGUCUUGUAUACCAAAAGGGAAACCUGAUGAAAGAUGGGCUCGCGUCUGAUUAGAUAGUUGGUGAGGUAACGGCUCACCAAGUCUGCGAUCAGUAGCCGGACUGAGAGGUCGAACGGCCACAUUGGAACUGAGAUACGGUCCAGACUCC